CCUACGGGUGGCAGCAGUGAGGAAUAUUGGUCAAUGGACGAGAGUCUGAACCAGCCAAGUAGCGUGAAGGAUGACUGCCCUAUGGGUUGUAAACUUCUUUUAUAUGGGAAUAAAACGUUCCACGUGUGGGAUUUUGUAUGUACCAUAUGAAUAAGGAUCGGCUAAGUCCGUGCCAGCAGCCGCGGUAAUACGGAGGAUCCGAGCGUUAUCCGGAUUUAUUGGGUUUAAAGGGAGCGUAGGUGGAUUGUUAAGCCAGUUGUGAAAGUUUGCGGCUCAACCGUAAAAUUGCAGUUGAAACUGGCAGUCUUGAGUGCAGUAGAGGUGGGCGGAAGUCGUGGUGUAGCGGUGAAAUGCUUAGAUAUCACGAAGAACUCCGAUUGCGAAGGCAGUUGACUGGACUGCAACUGACGCUGAGGCUCGAAAGUGUGGGUAUCGAACAGGAUUAGAUACCCGGGUAGUC
rnacentral:rRNA from 1 species